rnacentral:tRNA from 1 species
UUAUGUGUAGGUUAACUUUAAACUCAUAGAUUGUGGAUUUGUGGAUUGCUUUUGUGCGCAUAAA